AAGAGGGGGUCAGGUGGAGACCUUCAAGUGGUACAGGGGACACAACAAGGGUGACUAAGAGGGGGUCUGGUGGAGGUCUUCAAGUGGUACAGGGGACACAACAAGGGUGACUAAGAGGGGGUCUGGUGGAGGUCUUCAAGUGGUACAGGGGACAUGACGAGUAACAAAAUCUCUCUCUCUCUCUCUCUCUCUCUCUCUCUCUCUCUCUCUCACACACACACACACACACACACACACAA